rnacentral:rRNA from 1 species
UACGGGGGGGGCAAGCGUUGUUCGGAAUUACUGGGCGUAAAGGGCGCGUAGGCGGCCUUCUAAGUCGAACGUGAAAUCCCCGGGCUCAACCCGGGAACUGCGUCCGAUACUGGAAGGCUUGAAUCCGGGAGAGGGAUGCGGAAUUCCAGGUGUAGCGGUGAAAUGCGUAGAUAUCUGGAGGAACACCGGUGGCGAAGGCGGCAUCCUGGACCGGCAUUGACGCUGAGGCGCGAAAGCCAGGGGAGCAAAGCGGG